rnacentral:rRNA from 1 species
ACGGGAGGCAGCAGUGGGGAAUAUUGCACAAUGGGCGCAAGCCUGAUGCAGCGACGCCGCGUGAGCGAAGAAGUAUUUCGGUAUGUAAAGCUCUAUCAGCAGGGAAGAUAAUGACGGUACCUGACUAAGAAGCACCGGCUAAAUACGUGCCAGCAGCCGCGGUAAUACGUAUGGUGCAAGCGUUAUCCGGAUUUACUGGGUGUAAAGGGAGCGUAGGCGGUCAUGCAAGUCUGAUGUGAAAACCCGGGGCUCAACUUCGGGAUUGCAUUGGAAACUGUAAGACUAGAGUGUCGGAGGGGUAAGUGGAAUUCCUAGUGUAGCGGUGAAAUGCGUAGAUAUUAGGAGGAACACCAGUGGCGAAGGCGGCUUACUGGACAAUUACUGACGCUGAGGCUCGAAAGCGUGGGGAGCAAACAGGAUUAGAUACCCUGGUA